GCCAGCGUGGAGUAGUGGUUUGAGCCCUGGACUACGACUCUAGAGACCAGGCUUCGAUUCUCAGCUCGGCCG